GAAGGUUGCUGCCACCUAUCGGCGUCUGUGAGCACUUGCACCCAUGUCUUGUCUGGAGGAAGAGAAAACCCAAACAUCAGAGGAAUUAGAUGCCAAGAAAGAGAGCCUGGGUGGCUAAGAAGAAGUGCAUGCUGCGUCAAGCUGGUCCACUUGUGAGUAAGUGAGAAGGAAAAGGCAGCCCUGCCAUCCCAGGAAAACCAGUUCAACUCAUUUGUUAUUCCAUGGAAGCAACUGAUCCACAGGGAGAACUGAAGAGGUGUUUUUGUUUAAAAUUAAUGGCUGGGGUCAUCUCUUAAAAGCCUGUCAUUUACAUGAACAAAGGGGCAGUUGCUCC
rnacentral:lncRNA from 1 species